AUACUUGUAAUACGAUUAAAUUAGUCAAGAAUAUUUUUCGUCUUGUUAUCAGAAAUCCUUUCUGAGGGUGCACCAACAAUGAGCGUUCCUUCUCGUCCGAAAGGCGAGCGCAGCCUCGCAUUUAUUCGUCUAUUCGUCCGUUAUUAGAGGGCCAGACCACGUCCCUGAAUUCCGACGUAAUGGCUGGCUCUCGAUUUGAUCGAAGUCAAAUAUCGGGGCAGCCGUUAACGGCCGCUUUCGGCUUGACCCUCGCGGUGAGAUCAUCGAUUUCGCUUGGCAACGCAUCGGUCUUUAACAUUGGUGCUCGCGCAACGUGGCUCAUCGAUGCCCGAUCGCAUAUUUUAAAUCGCAAUGUAAGAGAAAUGUAUUUCUCUCUCUCUCCCCCCUCUCGCCCUCUUUUUUUCUUUCUUUGCGUUUGUUGCCGCUGAAUUACAUGAACAAUUUAAUCUUCCGCGCUGAAUGCGGGCAGUUUCAAUUAGCUGACUUUUCAACGAGUCCACGUGUAACAGACGCGCUCCGUUUAAUCAUCGCGUUCAUUCUAGAGUUCCUCGAAGUCGAUUAUUAGCCGAGUACAUCGGUCCCCGUCUUGCAGACGCGUUUAAGGAUGAAUUACGUGGGUCAGACGAGUCUCGUUUACACGAUGAUGCUCAUGUCGAGCCAUAUACAACGACGCACUUGCAGACGGAGAGAUGACAAAUGAUUAUUGCUGCGUCACGUUUAUGUUAUUGCCUUCGCAUCAGCUUGUAAAACAUCACUUGGUGUCACUCACGGUGUACACUUGUUACUUAUCAUGAAAUUGAAAAUAAAAUCGCCGGAUUCUAUUGAAAUAAAAAUUCCAAAGUUCCAGAAACUUGUUUUCAUAUUGUUCAUGUUGUAAAUUGUACGUUGUAAAUUACAUAAGCUGCAUUUAGCUGAAGAAUAUAAUACAAGUUGCUAUUUUACAUAUAAAAGCAAUUCUCUCUUUUUCUCUUUCUCGCUCUUUCUCUUUAGUACGUGGGAACUUGUGUCAUACACGCAAGUAGUAUCAGUGCAGUGAAACCUAAGCUUCGUUGCGUCUAUUAAAAUAGCUUAGUCGGGGAUUUAAUAACUUCGUUAAGAUUACACGUGGAUGUGCUGAUUUAUGCAAACAAGGCCGCGCAAAUCUCAGUCGAAACUUCGAGAUGAGAGAUAAUCUGUGAUCCAGAGAUAAUAUCUAGUCGCAUUCUCUCGUUGCAAAGUAGCGUACAAGGUGUAUAUACCGUUGCAUGCACAGUGCUGACGGGCUCGUGUUGCGGAUAAACGACAGGCGUUGUAUGAAGAUAAACGACACUCGCUAGAAGAAGAUAUUUCACGAUGUCUGCACGCGUGCCGAGCAGCACACCAUCUCUCGGGGUGGCUAGAAGCGUUACGGCUUCAUUUCGCAUGAGAUGUAUUUCUUACGUGAUCAGCCUGCAAAGUCAUUCACGUACAAAAACGUGCAAUUAAUUCUUAAGAACGAAAGCAUCAGAUCUGUAAUAAUUCCGAGUAAAACGAAACGAAGAAACUUCCUUGCACCGAGAGAUUUUGCAAUUACAAUUAUCGUAUACAAUUGUGAAUCGAAUUAAAGAUCUAAUUUCACGAUUAUGUUUGAUCAUUAACUAAAUAAUUCGGCUCGCGUGUCUACAUGAUAAUGAAUCAACUAAACGCAUACUUAUGACAGCACAAUCUAGCUUAUCGUGUAUUAAUUUUAUAGCAGAAUAAGUAAACUUUCAAAAACAAGGGAGGAAAUUCUGCAAAACAUAGCCACAUUGAGCUGGAUCGUCAUCCAGACCCGGGUUACUCAAUUGACGAUCUAAUAUAAUUGUGAAAUGAAAUUUUUAAUUUUCCCUAUUGUUAUACAGCUUCGUAUCUCUGUAAUGAUACGUGUUCUGCGUGGAGGCGGUGCGCUUGCUUGCUCCUUAACACGGCCGACGUAAGUCGGAGGACUCCCGCUCCUUGCUUUGUUCAUCGCCAAGGUCUAGAUCAGCGCUGUACCGCGCGUCGCGCCGGCGAGUGGCGGCGCGCUCUUUCCGAUCCUUCUCCUUCGAACGCACGGAUACGUGCGGCGAAUGCGCGAGCGCGCACGACUCGCGCGAGAGCCAACGACGAUCUCGAUGACGGAAUCGAGAACGGUAGCGAGAUUUCCUCAAGGUUCCGCAGCCCCGAAGGAAAAACGAAAGGCACGAGAGCGGAUCCACGGUUUCGCGGCUUCUCCAUCGCACACGCACACGCGCAUAGCCGCGCGAUAAUGCGCACGUGCGCAUUUUCCUUGUGCGCAAAGGGCAACCGCGCGGCAAACAUCUCGCCAUCGGUUUUUCGCGGGAACAGGACUGGUUCCUCGAGAUGACGUCCUUGGGGAACGAUACCCUCGCAAAAGCGCGAUGCACCGGAGACCACUGUCCGCAAGGUUGCUCGUGGAAAAGCGCUCUCGAGGAGAGAAAGAGCGGUUUAUCGGGGGAAAACUCAGUCUGGAAAAGCUGUCACCCUUAUCAUCUCUUAUCGAACACCGAGACAGUGAGGAUGACGGACGCAGCGUAUCAAGCACGUGCGUUUAUCUCGGGCUGGCGCCUUAUUACAGCGCAAUGCGUAUCGAGGGGCUUCAGCGGCGGUUCAACGACCCGAUUUCUGUGUGUGAUCUUGCGUGGCCUUGGAAGACAGGCCGGAUGUUGCGAGACUGACAAAGAGGUUUCGUGUUGCGGCGGAAGAGAGACGGGGCGAGAGAGGGAGAGGGACGGCAACCUAUGAAAAGUUCGAGGUCGCCAUCGACUUCGUGUAACGCCGAAACGGAUCAGUCCAGCUAUCGUUAUCGUGAGCGUUAUCUCUCGGUGUAGAUUAUGUAUUAUCUGCUCUCUCUCUUUCUUUACGCAGAUAGCAAGGAAAUAAUUUAUAUAAUUUUUACGUAGAGGAUUAUCGUCUACGUGUAAAUAUAAUAUUUAGAGAAGAGAGCCUCCCGACACGGAGUUGCUUCAACUUACAAACGCGUAUGCGCUCAAAGUCGAGUUAUCACGGAUGAGAUACGCGACGGAUACUUUCCUCCUCCGGUGAUAAAACAUUUACGGCCCUCCGCAGCCCAAUUUCCCGCGUGUGGCCCUACGCGCGCAGGGUUACGAACCUGCGUGCGCGCACGAAGAAAACGCGGAGAGGCACGGGCAGACAAUGAACAAUCGUACAUUGUUACGAGUUAUAGCAUUGUUACUCCACCGUGCUCGGGCCCCGUGUUCACAUAAUUAGGCUGUAAACGUUUCGAGACAAUCACUAUUGUUUUCCGUUUCUACCCUCCCGGAUUAAGGUUCCCCGCCGUCACAGUCCUUUGCCGGUAAAGCGAGCACUUCGGGAUACUUCGAGAGGAGUAGACUGUAAAAAGUUGCUCAAGUUUACACGAAACUGUUUCUCACCUCUCUCCAAAAAUUAUAUAAAUUCAUUAUUAAAAGUGUUUACCUACCAAACGACUAAAAAUAUAAUUGUUCAAUCAUUUCCACGUGCUAUGUUUCAAUAAAGUCAACGAAAAUAUUCAAAUAAAAUGUUACUUAGCCAGGAACACCGAGGGGACACUUUGAGAUUCAGGUAACCGAGAAAGAUUUGCCUUUCAAGAUGGUCGAUGACGAUAGGACGGGAGAUCUCUGCCACUAGCUCGAGCUUGCUGUAGACUUUGUUUCUACCCAGGGAAAUGUCUCCCUUUUUGAAUUUAUUUUUUUUGUUGUGAUAUCUCGAGACGUAUCUCUUCGUCCCUCGAGACGCUGAUAAAGAACUCGGAGGAAACACAUUCUGCCCGAGAGCAAAUUCUUAAGAAACAUUUUAUCAAGGUAUGUCACGUAUAAAUAUACCUUCCAAACUGAUCACGCAAAGAAUCCAUAAAUAGAAGCAAUUGUUCUUGAAUAUUUCGUAUAUUAUAUUAAUAACGUGGAAACACGUCUUUUCGAGUCGACUCGACCGUAUAACGUGCGUUCGCAGCACAUUGUGCCUUGUACAAAUUGAUGCAGAAGCAGCUAGACGUGCAUGCGCGCUCGGAUUGAGACAUCGCGAGAUGCAGCACAGCAGAUAAGAGAGGAAUGGAACGGAGGAAAAUCGUGGAACGGAGAAACGGACGGAAGAGCGACUACGCGCAGCGCUCGCGGUGGAAAUCCCUUGUUUCUUCGCGCAACGCGAUGCGAUAUCGAGCCGGGCAUGUAGAUUGCGGAAUGGCAAACGGGCGAGGGGAGGAGGGAGGAGGAGGAUGAAUUGUGAGAGGUAGCGGAGGAGAUAAUUUAUUGUUAUUCUAGAUGCGUUCGAUGACGCUACACAUUCUCCUGAGUGGUUGCUACGGCCGAGAGAGUGAGAGAGAGGAAAAUAGAAGGGAGACAAAGAGAGCAAAAAGGGCGAGGGAAGAGAGACCUCAAGAGAUGUAGAAAAAAAGAACCAAGAGAAAGAUAGGAUAGUCGAGAAUAAUAGGAAGAGAUAGGGGCAAGAAGGAAGAAGAAAUACUACGCGGAGAACAGAGAGAAAAGAGAGAUAGAGAGGACCCAACGCUUGUGGUAGCCGUGACCUUGUCUGGUACCCGAGACCCCACUAUAGUGUGCAUCGGUUUGCACAUAUCCUUGGUACCCCACCAUACAGAAUGAUGUGGUAGGAGAUGGCGAAGGAUGAAGAAAGACAGAGAGAGAGAGAGAGAGAGAACGAGUGCAGGGAGGAAGGAGGGAAAGGAAACGAGAGAAAGAAACCCGAGAGGGAACGUACAAGAGUGUGGAGAUGGCAGGCGCGUUCGUCCAGUCAUUGUUACCUAAUUUAAUGAGCAAACCGUCAAGCACGUGUCGGUGAAUACCUCAUAGCUCGUUAGCACGUCCAUCGGCGUGAAAUCACGAAUGCGCUUACAGCUCGCUCACGAGCUCCGCGAACGGACGUGUUCCAGCGGAGAAGAUACUUCGAGAAAUCCACGAGUGCGCUGGGACGACGCGGCGAGGUAGAAACUGGAAGUGAAGUUUGCUGCUGAUCUCCCUGAUCUCGCCGUGUUUGCACCAGUUGCGCCGGAAACGCGCAAGGCGACGCGAGAUCGCUCGACGCGGAAUCGGCAGCUCCUCUAGCGCGUGUCGGCUACCAACUGACGUUAUUAUGAUGGAUCGGGAUGAUCCGACUUUGAAUUCAGUACAGGCACAACAUCGUUAGCGUGUACACAAAUAGAAACCGUUGAACGUGGACGACUGAAUUUUCGUCCACGGGGUCUCCUACACGGUAGCAAAUGCCUUAUCGAAGACGAAGAGGAGCUUCUUCCGGCGGAUGCGCGGCAGAAACGUGUCGUCGACACAUCCUGUCGGUGAGACAACAAUAGUGGACACCCUCCUCUUCCUGGUUGUACGCGCCAAUUAUUCCAUAGUCGAAAGAAAGACGGAAAAACGAAAGAGUAUCCUGACAUUUCAAUUUUGAUCUGUGGAAUCACGCCAGAUAUUCUCCCGAGAUAAAAGCCAAGGACAAUCGCGAGCGAAAAAUCUGCAUGUCUCUUUCCAGAAGACAUUUAACUCGCACGUACGUUUACGUAACGCAUUAUCAUUUCAAGAAUUGAUGCAAACAUCGCGAGCAUCGUAAAAUAUUUUGGCGACCACGCCUUUAUUCAGAAACAUCAUGGAUCUCAAAGAUCAAAUAAAAUAUACGAAAAUAAUUCACUCGUGUUAUUUUUUUCUCCCGAAUAACGUUAAAACACAUGAUUGCUAAUCGUGCAAGCACUUAACGUUGUCAAUCGUCAUUAAUUAGUCUUAAUCUUCAUCGAGAUCGAUGAUCGAUGAUCAGGAGGACAUCUUCCAGUCUUUGUGAUAGUGGUACCCGGCCUCGUGACAACGCGAGGUGCUACAACAGCGUCGCGUGUAAACUUUCGGACUUUCGGUAUUUUACUUGUCACGAUAUCAAGAGUGCAGCUUCAAUGUGAUCGGGCGAUAAAGUUUCGCCAGGUUCGUCGACCGAUCGUCAACGAUACAUCGAGCAAGGCGGACAGGACGAAGGACUACCUCGGAUCAAGUUCUUGCGUUCUUUCUCUCCUCGAUCCGCUCGACCGCGAGGCAGCCAAGUAAAUGGUACCGUAGCACCGUGAAGUAUAUUAUUAGCAUCGUGUAAACGUGUCUGCUGGCCGUGAAACCAGUGAAAGUAUUUCAUGGACGGGGCAGGCACACACGCGCGCACUCGCUUGGCGCGCGUGCACGUAUAUCAUUUCGCGCCGGUCUCUCAUACGUGCCGCUCGCUUCUUCCGAGACGAUCGCCGUGUGGAGGCGCGCCCAGAACUGGGCCUUUGUCCUCUUUGUCCGAGGAACUGGCGGCUGGGCCGGUCUGACCCUUCUGGUUCCACUGGACCGGUCGAAAAGGACGAGAGUUCGGUGCGCGUCCAUGUUUCUCGCUUCUCGUCGUCGUCUUUCGCACGCGCGGUCAAGAUGAGCUUCGAGGUGAUACGUCUCCGGUCCUGGUAUAAUGCAAGACCACGCUGGACAAGUUGGAAAGUCGUUGAAGAAGCUGACAAAUUUCGGAGGGAGAAAUGUCGCGACGCGUUCUCCAGCUUUCGACGCGGUCGCGCGAGCGACAGACGCGAUCGCGCAACGAUCUCGUAAGACAUGCUCUUAAGUAUAAUGAGCGUUCUUCGUGAUAUAAAUAGACACCCAGACGUCCUGCGUUCGGCAGUAAGCGCAUUCGAUGAAUCGCGUGAUCUUACUGUUGAAUAAUGGCCAAAUGAUUCCUUCUAAAAUUAUUGUUGCUUUUUCUGGCGUUCAUUUCGGUAUUAAAUAUCUUGUAAUCAAUUUUAUCUCAGGAUCUUGUUGAAAUUGAUUAGAAAUUAAUUCAGGAGAUACAAAGUCGGCGUUGUAAUGUAUCCAGAAAACGAAUAUGUCGAAGGAUCAAAGAAAUAUUAUGUAACGCGACUUUUACGCUUUGAGUAUUAGAUGGCGGCCGCGAGAAUUUUACGUAAUCUUCCGUUUCGCGAUUUACCACGUGCAUACCUCUUUUUCUGAUCGGAAUUAUUUUCUAGUAAGUCGAGGCGCAAUUAAUAAACAGUUUCUUUCCGCAGAAACUAGUCAUUUGUUCAGCUAACGACGUGCUAUGAUGAACACUUUGCUGCUUUGCAAUCAAGGAUAAUCUAAUGCAAAUCGGAGCAUAUUACAAAUAUUGCAUGUUCAAUGUCUCUUCUUCUCAACAUUGUAGAAAAAAAAAAUAGUAAAAAAUAUCGAUUCCAGUUUGCAGUUGCACACGAUUUGUCGUAUCCUCGAAACUUCAUAAGUACAUACCUAUCGAUAUACAAACAAGUGUGAUCAAGUUCAAGAGACUGAAACUAGUGAAAUGAGGACACAGUGAACUCGUAAUAUUCGUUCAUCCAUCCGUUUGCAUCGGGACGAAAGAUCGCGCUUCCACAAGAAAUGACGUCUCGGCAAAUCGCGUUUAUUGCGCUUGAUGAUUGUCUUGACUCAUCGUUAGCGAAUGUCAGCGAAUGACGUUAAGAGCUCGUUGAUGCCUCGCCGAGGAGAAUGUCGACAUUGUGCGAUCUCACAUGCGCUCAUGCGAUACCUCUUCGAUACCUGUCCAAAUAUUGAGAGAUAUUUUGUUUCGAAUAUUAUAUAUAUAUUAUUUUAUUAUGAUAAUAUUGAAUGAAAUCUCUCUGAAAUCUAAAUAUAUUUAAUUUUAAAACAACUUGUACAACAAGCACCCACUUAAUGUUAAUAUCGAUAUUCAAGUCACCAUAUAUGAGAAUGCCAUUUAUGCAUUGUUAAUAUUAUUCUGGUUUCCCUUCAAUGUACGAAUAAAUCUUUCGUCUUUUACAUUGUUAAUAUUAUCAUUAAUAAAGAAACUCGCUAAUGUCCACGUGCGAUUGCAUUUUUUUAUUCACGUAAUACGAUAAAGCGGUGAAGUCAUAAAAGACGUCAUCUAAACGGUGAAGAAUCACAAGACUGGCCGGGUAGAGCAUGCUUGCCUUUUUGUUAACCGUAACGCGCCGGAAUGGUCGACCGACGGUUUCGAGUGAUACGGUUUUACGACUGGUAAAAGUCGAUAUGAAAGGCGAGCCUGUGGCGCGGAAGCUUGGCUCGAAACAUGGCGCGGCCGAGAGCCCGAGAGGCGAGAUGAAGGCAGGCGGUUCUCUCCCGUCGAUACGACGCCCGUAUACAUUUUGUAGUCAAUAUGUCGAAAUGUUUUCCCCCCGAGUUCUCCUUUCACUAAUUGUAUAAAGCCUGGCCACUGCGAAUAUGUGGCUGAAAUUUAUGAAAUCGCGCGGAUAUUCGGCCAAACUAUCCGGUUUGCGACGACAAACACAGUGAAACUGCGAAAGUGCUCGUAACAGAGGACGAACGAAAGAAACCUUUGACCAAGGAUCCAAAAGGAAACCUGUCGAAGAACCGUUGAGCUCAGUGUUACGAAAACACGCACGAGACCAGGCGUCGAAAAAAGAAAGACACGUUCGCCGACUUCGACAAUUUGCAACCGACUGUGAGUUCAUCUCAGUUGCAAUAUUCAACUGAGUUAACUUUGUUCAUUUUGAGGAUAAUUGAUGCAAGUUUAAUUUCAAUAAUUGAUCAAGAUCGAGAUAAUAUAGCGGUAUACUCGCGUAUAUUAUUGUUGAAAUUAUUUUUAAAAGUGGAUUUGCGCACCAAUCAACUCCUGAAGGAACUUUUCAUAAGAGAUACAUAUCGUGACGUAACUUCAAUAAAUCAGCUGCACGCGAGGUAUCGUUCGAUCUUUUCCGAGAUAACAAUUUGGUUCAUCAAAAUUUUGACGUGCGCGAGGCGUGGCAGUCGAUGUGCGUUUUGCCAAGGAUCGAUCAAAACCAGAGCGCGGAUCCAUCGCAAUGACCUUUUCACGCGAACAGCGAAAGCGGAGUGCAUCUGCUAUUUUACUCCAGAAUCGAUAGCGCCAAGUCUUUCGCGAUUCGCGAGCAAGAUCAGCUCACGAUGCUGGGCAUCGCCGCCGAUCGUGAUCUCUUUAGCAACGUAGAAACCAACGAAAAGGUCGGUCGAUGCUAAUGCGCAAAGCAGACAUCAUUCGAAUCUCGUAACUAUGUGGCAGAAAAACAAUUUUGUAGAGAGGGACAAGAUUUCGUCAGCAUCCUUUUGUUGACUUUUCGUCUCGGUUUGCGGAAAAAAGAAAUAAGGAUAUGAAGAGACGAAGGAUGGUAUGCCGCCUGUGUAUGUUGCGCAAAAAUGAUAAGAUGGAUCUUUGAGUAUAAAACGAAGAAAGUAAGUAGCCUAUAAGUAAUGAAAUGAGGAGGCUAUAAGUAGUCUAAAAGAAAAACAUUGAUUUAAAUAUCGCAAUGUGAAUUACCUAGUUGUUCAACAUCGACUGACAAUGAGACAGCUCCGAGUUCACUCGGUACACAAAUUGUUCACGAGAAAGAAACGAGAACGAGAGGCGGAUGAAAUAGGAAGCGUGCCUUGCGCGCAUUAAUUAAAAGUGCUGCAGAGGAAGUCGCCAACUAAGAAGGGCGAGGCUGAAUGAAAACAGCUGCUACUUGAUGACGACAUGGUCUAAAAGCGCGUUUAGUCCAGACUAAAGCACCAUUGCGUUACGUUCACGACUAUUGAAGCCCAUCUAACAUGGGACGGAAGAUGGGAACGGGACUUUUCUCUCAAAUGAAACCUUAAUUGAAUUUUCUUCAAAUCUUAUCGUUAUUACAAAAUUCUGAAUUGUAGCUUCAUAUUUACACACGACAUUUUUAAUUGAGAAAUUUACGUUAACUAGAAGCAUUAAUUAAUGUAUCCGAUGUUAUUUUGUCGCGUUUAUAUUUGAAAGAAAUAAAACCGUAAAA